ACGAGUUUGAUCCUGGCUCAGAGCGAACGCUAGCGGCGGGCUUAACACAUGCAAGUCGAGCGGAGAGCUUCGGCUCUCAGCGGCGAACGGGUGAGUAACACGUAGGUAAUGUACCCUCUGGUGGGGAAUAACCGUGGGAAACCAUGGCUAAUACCGCAUAUGUCUUUCGAGAUGAAAGCAGCAAUGCGCCAGAGGAGCAGCCUGCGGCCGAUUAUUUAGUCCUAGUUGGUGAGGUAAUGGCUCACCAAGGGUACGAUCGGUAGCUGGUCUGAGAGGAUGAUCAGCCACACUGGAACUGAGACACGGUCCAGACUCCUACGGGAGGCAGCAGUGGGGAAUAUUGCGCAAUGGGCGAAAGCCUGACGCAGCCACGCCGCGUGAGUGAUGAAGGCCUUCGGGUUGUAAAGCUCUGUCGGGAGGGAAGAAGGGGCAACCCUGACGGUACCUCGCAAGAAAGCACCGGCUAACUCUGUG
rnacentral:rRNA from 1 species